AUUGAACGCUGGCGGCAUGCCUUACACAUGCAAGUCGAACGGCAGCACGGGUGCUUGCACCUGGUGGCGAGUGGCGAACGGGUGAGUAAUACAUCGGAACAUGUCCUGUAGUGGGGGAUAGCCCGGCGAAAGCCGGAUUAAUACCGCAUACGAUCUACGGAUGAAAGCGGGGGACCUUCGGGCCUCGCGCUAUAGGGUUGGCCGAUGGCUGAUUAGCUAGUUGGUGGGGUAAAGGCCUACCAAGGCGACGAUCAGUAGCUGGUCUGAGAGGACGACCAGCCACACUGGGACUGAGACACGGCCCAGACUCCUACGGGAGGCAGCAGUGGGGAAUUUUGGACAAUGGGCGAAAGCCUGAUCCAGCAAUGCCGCGUGUGUGAAGAAGGCCUUCGGGUUUUAAAGCACUUUUGUCCGGAAAGAAAUCCUUGGCCCUAAUACGGUCGGGGGAUGACGGUACCGGAAGAAUAAGCACCGGCUAACUACGUG
rnacentral:rRNA from 1 species